rnacentral:rRNA from 1 species
CGAUGAACCACCUUCGGGUGGGGAUUAGUGGCGAACGGGUGAGUAACACGUGGGCAAUCUGCCCUGCACUCUGGGACAAGCCCUGGAAACGGGGUCUAAUACCGGAUACUGACCCGCCUGGGCAUCCAGGCGGUUCGAAAGCUCCGGCGGUGCAGGAUGAGCCCGCGGCCUAUCAGCUUGUUGGUGAGGUAACGGCUCACCAAGGCGACGACGGGUAGCCGGCCUGAGAGGGCGACCGGCCACACUGGGACUGAGACACGGCCCAGACUCCUACGGGAGGCAGCAGUGGGGAAUAUUGCACAAUGGGCGCAAGCCUGAUGCAGCGACGCCGCGUGAGGGAUGACGGCCUUCGGGUUGUAAACCUCUUUCAGCAGGGAAGAAGCGCAAGUGACGGUACCUGCAGAAGAAGCGCCGGCUAACUACGUGCCAGCAGCCGCGGUAAUACGUAGGGCGCGAGCGUUGUCCGGAAUUAUUGGGCGUAAAGAGCUCGUAGGCGGCUUGUCGCGUCGGUUGUGAAAGCCCGGGGCUUAACCCCGGGUCUGCAGUCGAUACGGGCAGGCUAGAGUUCGGUAGGGGAGAUCGGAAUUCCUGGUGUAGCGGUGAAAUGCGCAGAUAUCAGGAGGAACACCGGUGGCGAAGGCGGAUCUCUGGGCCGAUACUGACGCUGAGGAGCGAAAGCGUGGGGAGCGAACAGGAUUAGAUACCCUGGUAGUCCACGCCGUAAACGGUGGGCACUAGGUGUGGGCGACAUUCCACGUCGUCCGUGCCGCAGCUAACGCAUUAAGUGCCCCGCC